rnacentral:rRNA from 1 species
UACGGAGGGGGCUAGCGUUGUUCGGAAUUACUGGGCGUAAAGCGCACGUAGGCGGCUUUGUAAGUUAGAGGUGAAAGCCCGGGGCUCAACUCCGGAAUUGCCUUUAAAAACUGCAUCGCUAGAAUUGUGGAGAGGUAAGUGGAAUUCCGAGUGUAGAGGUGAAAUUCGUAGAUAUUCGGAAGAACACCAGUGGCGAAGGCGACUUACUGGACACAUAUUGACGCUGAGGUGCGAAAGCGUGGGGAGCAAACAGG